GUGUUCGCUUCGGCAGCACAUAUACUAAAAUUGGAACGAUACAGAGAAGAAAGAUUAGCAUGGCCCCUGCACAAGGAUGACACACAAAUUUGUGAAGCGUUCCAUAUUUAA